AGUAGAAGGAAUGGAAUAACAUUAAUUGCAAAAUACAAACUAUAAGACUUUUCCAAGGAUAACAACAUUGCAGAAAUUCUAGAUUGCUUUGGGUUUGGUGAUGAUUUUUUAGAUAUAACACCAAAAGCACAAUCCAUGAAAGAAAAAAAAUUUAAUAAGUUAGACUUCAUUAAAAUUAAAAUCUUCAGCUUUGUCACAGAUACUGCAAAGAGAAUGUAAAGAUAUCCACUUCCUGAGAGAAAAUCUUUGCAAAAACAUACCUGAUAAAGGAUUGGUAUCCAAAAUAUUCUAAGAACUUUAAAAAUUCAACAAUAAGACAACAGAGAAUCCAAUUAAAAAAUGGGUCAAAGGUUUGAACAGAAUUCGUCAUUGCUGGUAGUGGUGUGUGUGUGUGUGGGGGGGGGGUGGUUCUUUUCUCUAAAAAGGCUUUCUUCUUUAUUAAAAAAUGAUGCAAAUAAGGACCAUUCUUCCCCAGGUCUUGGAUAUUGCUGUAUGAAGAGGAGAUGCUCAGACCUUUUCCAUCUGCCUUGCAGUCAUGAGGAGACAACUAUUGUAAAUGAACAGAAAUCAAAGAGAAGGCAAGACUGCACACCCUGAAACUUCUUAUCAUCUGUAAUUAGCUCCUCAUGAGGAGAGUCCUAUCAGAGCCAAGAUAUGCUGAGCCCAACUCACACCGGACUCACACCGGCUCCUGCGUGGAGAUCGUGGAGAUCCAGGGAGGGCAGCCUCACAGAUGAUGUAUUUAUGAGAACUGAUCGUGCUCCCGUGGAACAGAGAACACUAGCACAGAGAGCACUGGGUCCGUGCACAGUAGGUUUUGGAGAGAAUAACAUGUAUUUUGACUCAAUAAAUGCUGCUUGUUUAGGUGUUUAGGUAACUGUGUUUUGGAUGUAAGCUCCUGUCAUGGCACUUAGCAGCCUGGACUGGAAUCACAGGUUUUCUGCUGACAUUGAGGU
rnacentral:lncRNA from 1 species